rnacentral:rRNA from 1 species
AGGACGAACGCUGGCGGCGUGCUUAACACAUGCAAGUCGAGCGGAAAGGCCCUUCGGGGUACUCGAGCGGCGAACGGGUGAGUAACACGUGAGCAACCUGCCCUCAGCUCUGGGAUAGCUCCCGGAAACGGGAAUUAAUACCGGAUACGACCCCGACUGACAUCGGUCAGGGUGGAAAGGAUUCCGGCUGAGGAUGGACUCGCGGCCUAUCAGCUAGUUGGUGGAGUAACGGCCCACCAAGGCGACGACGGGUA